AGUGAACGCUGGCGGUAUGCCUAAUACAUGCAAGUCGAACGGCAGCACAGUAAGCGUUUUCCCUUACGGUUGGCGAGUGGCGGACGGGUGAGGAAUACAUCGGAAUCUUCUUUUUCGUGGGUGAUAACGUAGGGACAUUUCCGCUAAUACCGCAUACUAUCUACGGCUUAAAUCAGGAGUUAUUCGCACUUUUCCUGUCUCAUUUAGCCGAUGUCGCAUUAGCUAGUUGGCGAGGUAACGGCCCACCAAGGCGACGAUGCGUAGCUGAACUGAGAGGAUGAUCGGCCACACUGGAACUGAGACACGGUCCAGACUCCUACGGGAGGCAGCAGUAGGGAAUAUUCGGCAAUGGGCGAAAGCCUGAUCGAGCAAUGCCGCGUGAGUGAAGAAGGUCUUCGGAUUGUAAAGCCCUUUUGUUGGGGAAGAAAAGAAGCGGAUUUAACCGUCGCUGUUCUGACGGUACCUAAAGAGUAAGCAACGGCUAACUACGUG
rnacentral:rRNA from 1 species